rnacentral:rRNA from 1 species
UACGUAGGGUGCGAGCGUUGUCCGGAAUUAUUGGGCGUAAAGGGCUCGUAGGCGGUUUGUCGCGUCGGGAGUGAAAACCCAGGGCUUAACUCUGGGCUUGCUUUCGAUACGGGCAGACUUGAGGCAUGCAGGGGAGAACGGAAUUCCUGGUGUAGCGGUGAAUGCGCAGAUAUCAGGAGGAACACCGGUGGCGAAGGCGGGUCUCUGGGCCGAUACUGACGCUGAGGAGCGAAAGCAUGGGUAGCGAACAGG